rnacentral:rRNA from 1 species
UACAGAGGGUGCGAGCGUUAAUCGGAAUUACUGGGCGUAAAGCGUGCGUAGACGGUUAUGUAAGUCGGAUGUGAAAGCCCCGGGCUCAACCUGGGAAUUGCAUUCGAGACUGCAUAGCUAGGAUGCGGAAGAGGGAAGUGGAAUUUCCGGUGUAGCGGUGAAAUGCGUAGAUAUUGGGAAGAACACCGGUGGCGAAGGCGGCGCUCUGGACCGAGACUGACGCUGAGGCGCGAAAGCGUGGGGAGCAAACAGG